AGUAUUUGAACGGGGCGCCGAAACGGCUGAGAUGUGCAUGUCUUCGCACAGACCCUUAUAACUUGAUCCGGAUAAUGCCGGCGUAAGGAAGGAGAAUUUAAUAUGU
rfam:Clostridium hylemonae DSM 15053 genomic scaffold Scfld_02_0, whole genome shotgun sequence.